UACGGAGGGUGCAAGCGUUAUCCGGAUUCACUGGGUUUAAAGGGUGCGUAGGUGGGUUGGUAAGUCAGUGGUGAAAUCUCCGAGCUUAACUUGGAAACUGCCAUUGAUACUAUCAGUCUUGAAUACCGUGGAGGUCAGCGGAAUAUGUCAUGUAGCGGUGAAAUGCUUAGAUAUGACAUAGAGCACCAAUUGCGAAGGCAGCUGACUACGCGAAUAUUGACACUGAUGCACGAAAGCGUGGGGAUCAAACAGG
rnacentral:rRNA from 1 species